rnacentral:rRNA from 1 species
UACGUAGGGGGCGAGCGUUAUCCGGAUUCACUGGGUGUAAAGGGAGCGCAGGCGGUCUUUUAAGUCUGAUGUGAAAGCCUUCGGCUUAACCGGAGUAGUGCAUUGGAAACUGGGAGACUUGAGUGCAGAAGAGGAGAGUGGAACUCCAUGUGUAGCGGUGAAAUGCGUAGAUAUAUGGAAGAACACCAGAGGCGAAAGCGGCUCUCUGGUCUGUAACUGACGCUGAGGUUCGAAAGCGUGGGUAGCAAACAGG